rnacentral:tRNA from 1 species
GGAGGGUAUAGCUCAGUGGUAGAGCACAUGCUUAGAAUGCACGAGGUCCUGGGUUCAACCCCCAGUACCUCCA